AUUGAACGCUGGCGGCAUGCUUUACACAUGCAAGUCGAACGGUAACAGGCCGCAAGGUGCUGACGAGUGGCGAACGGGUGAGUAAUGCAUCGGAACGUGCCCAGUCGUGGGGGAUAACUGCUCGAAAGAGCAGCUAAUACCGCAUACGAUCUAUGGAUGAAAGCGGGGGACCGUAAGGCCUCGCGCGAUUGGAGCGGCCGAUGUCAGAUUAGGUAGUUGGUGGGGUAAAGGCUCACCAAGCCAACGAUCUGUAGCUGGUCUGAGAGGACGACCAGCCACACUGGGACUGAGACACGGCCCAGACUCCUACGGGAGGCAGCAGUGGGGAAUUUUGGACAAUGGGGGCAACCCUGAUCCAGCAAUGCCGCGUGCAGGAAGAAGGCCUUCGGGUUGUAAACUGCUUUUGUACGGAACGAAACGGUCUGGGUUAAUACCCUGGGCUAAUGACGGUACCGUAAGAAUAAGCACCGGCUAACUACGUGCCAGCCGCCGCAGUAACAC
rnacentral:rRNA from 1 species